rnacentral:rRNA from 1 species
UACGUAGGGUGCGAGCGUUCAUCGGAAUUACUGGGCGUAAAGCGUGCGCAGGCGGUUCUAUAAGACAGAUGUGAAAUCCCCGGGCUCAACCUGGGAAUGGCAUUUGUGACUGUAGAGCUAGAGUACGGUAGAGGGGGAUGGAAUUCCGCGUGUAGCAGUGAAAUGCGUAGAUAUGCGGAGGAACACCGAUGGCGAAGGCAAUCCCCUGGACCUGUACUGAAGCGCAUGCACGAAAGCGGAGGGAGCAAACAGGAUGAGAUACCACGGUAGUCC